AUAAGGAACUUCCAUUUAAUUUGGAAAUGUUAACACUUUUUAAAUAUUUGCAUUAUCCAAGAUUUUACUUAUUUAAUUCAUAAAAGUUUUAAAAGCUACCAUAAUAUUAAAAUCGAAUUAUUGCUUUACUUAAAAUUGUUAAUUAUUUUAUUCUUUAUCGCUUAUAUGAAGUGCACAUAAAUUCAAAUGAUAAAUACGUAAAAUAUAAAAAUUGUUGAAAAAUAGUAGAAGCAUUAAAAGAUAUAGUGAAAACUUCACACGUCAAACAUAAAAUUAUAUAUGUAUGUAAUUGAAUUCUGUUUUAUACAUUGCGCCACGAGAUAAUAUUUAAAGCUAAUAUAGGUUGUAUCCUAACUUCCUGUCUUCUUUUCCAUAUUUUUCUUUAUAAGAUACAAUUAUAUGCGCGUAUGGAUACCAUUUUUGUCGUAUAUUCUUACAUAUCUUCUAUACAUUUUUGUAUGUAUAUAUUUAUAUUAUAUAUAUAUUUAUAUAUUUAUUUACUUAUUUAUAUAGCAAACCAUCGCAUCAAUACCGAAAUUUAUAAAAAUAUACAUGUACUUUUAAAAAUUAUGCACUUUAAAUUAAGCACACUAAUGCUAAAUUAUAUAUGUUUGUAGGUAUGUAUGUAUACGUAAAUACUCGAUUUAAAUUUGGCUUAUUUUAUAUUUACGUAUAAUAAGCCAACAUUCAAUUAAGUUUCAUACUUCUUUUAUAUCAUCCUCUGUUUCGAUCGGCAGGGAAUAUAAGAGCUGUUUCGACAGAUUAUUUUGUAUAGUGCGAACUCCUUUCACGUGGAAAUUGGAAGAUAUUGAUAAAUAUAAAAGGAUCAAUUGGGACUUUUACAUACAUAUGAAUAUAUGUAAAAAGGCACUGAACGUACAACGAGUUCGUCCGCAAUAUAACUGAUGAUAUUAGGACGUAUUAUAGGUAUUACAGGAGCAACGGUGUAAUUAACAAGAACAUUUCCAUUAUUUUGCGAUUUGACAAUGACAAGAAAAUAUCGAUAUUUUAAUUAUAACUUAAUAAAUUUAUAAUUGGCCGAUACAAAUCAACGAGCCAAAUGAAAGUAUCAUCGCAUUAUUUUUUAAUGUUGUUCCUAAAUAAUUGAAAAAUAAUUAUUAAAUUAACUCUUAAAUUUUUCAAUUAAAGUUUAUUUAUCUAAUCAAACGGUUAGCUACUAAAAAAAAUGUUUAGAUUGUAUCACUCAUAUCUUUAUAAGAAAUGUUAUAAACAAUUUGGACCCAAAUGUACAAAUUAAUUCUGUUACUAUAAAAUAUAUCGCAAAUAUAUAAAAUUUUUGCGUAUAAUUCGAGUAAUACUUAACACGAUCUUUGUUGCAAUGUAAAUUUUCCACUUGAAAGAUAAGUUUUGUUGUAUGCAUAGAAUAUGUAAAUCCCAACGCUUUAUUAAAAGUAUUGCAUGUGUAAUUGUGUAUAUUUGUUAUCUGAAAUUGCACGAAGCACAUCAGAAAAUCCUGACCAACAAUCAAUAGGUAUUAAGGUGUAUAAGAAACGAUUUCUCUUUCGAUUUCAUAUUACCAUAUUCUAACGUUUGCUCAAUGAUCAUUUUGAUCAAAUUUUAUUUAAUGUCACUUGUAAUAUGAUAUAUUGUAAUUAAUUAAUCUUUCUCAUUUGAGCACGACAAAUUACAUUUAUUGCAAUAUUUUCUGUUUAAAUUUAAACAAAUUUGAUUUCUUAUUGUAGAAUGGCUCUGUAUACGAGUUUACAUAUAAAGGCACAUAUAAUGUGCGAUAUUAAUUAUAAAAAUUUCGCAUGUAGACUUCCUCGUUAUACAAGUCGUGCCACAUAUGCAAGAAAAUUAAAUAUUUAUAAUAUACCAAUAAAAAUACAUUAGCACAAAAUAUUUGCAUAUACUUUCUAAGAAAUUUGUUAAUUUAAUUACUUUAGAUAUUGUAGUCCAGUGCCUAGUAUGAUAAAUAAAUCUUAUUUACAAAUUGUAAUUUUCUCAUCAUACAUAAUAUGUUAUCUGUGAAGUACUGACAAACGUAGAUCUUGUUCAGGAAUGUUUACCAAAUUAAUUUAUAAGUAGUAUGUAACAAAGUAUUUGUUCGUAUUUUAAUAUGGUUUUAAUAUGAUUCUUACGCAUCGCUAAUAUUCCAAACACUAAAUGUUUAAUUCAUUAUGUUAUUUCACUUGUAUUUAAUCGUAACAUCCUUUAGUGAUUUGUAAAAAUGGUCAUUAUAGUAGUUACAAAUAUUUUAAGAAAAUUUUCGUAUUAUCGUAUUAUUGUUCUUCUAUACUUUCUUCGAAAUCAUUAAGAAAGUCAUUGAAGUCGCAAAUGUACGAUAAAAAAUGCAGCAUUAUUUAAAAGCUUCAACUUGAAACGUUUUAAUGUAACAUAUUCAGCACAAUGUAUAUGAUGUAAAUUACUUUCUGUUUCUUAGAUCAUUGUUUCAAGAACAAAAUAAUUGUAUCUUCCUUCAAGAACGUGUCUGAGUUUAAUAUCUGUAAAUAAUUAUUUUUAAUAUACACAGUGAUUAAUAACUUUGGUUAUUUAACGUUAUCUCUAUAUUUUGAGAAGUAUGAGGAAACUUUAUUUAUAAAAAUUAUAUGAUAUUAAGAGAGUCAUAACAUACCAAUAUUAAUUUUUUUUGAAGUAGAAGACUUUUAGAGAUUUCGAAGUUACUUCUAUCUUUUUUCAACAGUAUACACUAUACUUUUUUAUACUUAGAAAAAUAGCGAAUUCAAGCGACUUUAAGGAUCUUUAAUACAAGUUCAUUCGAGAAUAAAUAAAGAGAUAAAAGGAAUUUUAUAUCACGUUUAUAUUGGAAAUGAUGUUCCUUUGCAUCGACGUAAUAUUAAAGUAGCCGAAUUAUUGAAGCCCUUAUACUUGUUGAAAUUUUUAAAUUGAUUAUAACACAUAUAACAGUGAUUAAUAUUUAUUUCGUAUCUUUUAACGUUAUUGGAUUUUUAGGAUACAGAGAUGGUUCAUGAUUCAAUGUGAUUCCAUGAAUUGUUCUCGAUGUGAAAGAUUCAUGAAUAUUAAUGGAAGGAAGUCUCAAACAGAUUUAACAAUGUCAGUUGUUAUUUACAUUUCUUAUUAUUCUGUACUAUUUACAUUUCUUACUACUCCUAUGGUUUUUUGUAGGUUGAAAAUACCCACAUAUAACGAUCAACCCAGACAGCUCAAGUAUGAAGAGAAGACUCAUUGCAUGAAAUGUGUGAGUUUUGCAAUUUCAUAAUUCCACUGUUGAUGCAAACAAACACUACUUCCAAUAUUUCCCAUAAUAUAAGACUCGUUUUACUCUUUUAUUUAAUGUCAAAUAUCCGUUAUUUUAUUAGAAAUAAAAAAGUAUAGUAUGCCCUUUAAAAGAAUAUAGAGGUGGAUUUUGAAAUCCUUAAAGUUCCUUCAUUUUAUUAAUUAUUAGUGAUAUAUCAUGAACCCGCUCGUACAAGUCUUGUAAAUAAAGUCUAUUUAUAUUUCACAGGAUAAUAAAGACAUUUAAGGUAGUCAAAGUUUAUCCAUUAUUCGCAUUUUGAUCAAUAUGAAAACUUAAAUUCUAGGAAAAGUACAAUUCACUUAUUCUAAUUAAACAGUUACGUUGAAAUUUUGCAAUCCCUCUGUUUUAAAGAAUCUUGUAAAAGCAACAUAAAACAAUUAAUUGCAAAAUGAAUAAAUACUACAAAAUAUAUAUAUAAUUUUUACAUAUCAGGAAUUAUAUUCUUAGACAAAAUAAAUGUUGUUAUAUUCUAUAUUCUGCUACAAACAUAUCUUAAAUAAUGAAAACGGAAACCUAAUAUAAUUGACGUUAAUUGCUAUCAAUAUAUAUAAUAUAAGAAAUAUUAAUACAAGAUAAUAAAGGAAGACAAUAAAGUUUUAUGUGAUUACGCAAUGUGAUUGUACAUCAUUAACUAUCAUCGAUGUCAUAUUUCGUAAAAAUAAUAACUUUCAAAUCCUACUUUCCAGCAAAUAUUAACAAUGACUCGAACUUAUUUCUUGCAAUUUUCUCACAUUCAGUUAUGCAUCCAGCAAAAUAUGUAUGAUAUUUUGUAAUUUUCAAAUCAUGUAACUACUAUUCACUUAAUUUUGAAGUAUGUUCAUAGUAAGAUAAUGAUUGAUAUAUCUCAAUUAUGUAAUCAAUAAGUAAUGUUAAAUAUAUAUAAUGAUAUAAUAUAAUUUGAUUUCUUAUAAUGUACAAAGCGUUUAAUUUCAGCUUUGUGUACUGUGACAAAUAAUUGUUGUCUUUUGUAAAAUAAUAUUUAAGAGAUCACGUAAUUUUAAUCAAAUCUGCAUCUUGAGUAAAGAUACUGUCAGUCUCUUGUUUCAAAGAUAGUGGCAGUUUCCUUAUGCCCUGAAUAAAAUUACAUGCAGAAGUAGUUGCCACCAUAUUUACUGGAAUACCUCAGUUUUCUCUAUCUUAUUCAUAACUCUAGGCCAUACUUCAUCUAAACUGUAUCUAUACAAUGUUUAACAAAUAAAAUACAUGUAACGUAAUGUGAGAUUUUAAAGUAAAAGUAAAACCAAUAACAGUAAUUAAUGUUUAAUUUUGAAAUUUGUCACUUUACAUAGUAAUAAACAAACGUCAUAGAUCAUAUUAUAAUACACAAGUUUUCAUAGUUAAAAAAUCAGACUUUCUAGGCCUGUAGCCUAUGAAACGGAGUACAUUAUACAUUGUAUUUCUGUUGGACUUCAAUCUAAUCACAGUUUAUUCUGAUGGAUGAGUUAACGUAAGUUUAUCAGCCACGAUUUUGUGACGAGCUUAUUAAAAAAAGAACCGAGUUCUAAUAUACUUUUUUUUCCAUACAUUCCAAUCACAAUUUUAUCCCAAUAUGCCACCCUUACCCUGGACCAUUCAAACGAUAUUAACUUGAAAUCAUUAUAUAUCUUAUUUCUUAAUUACAGUGCCAGCAUAAAAACUUUUUCUAUACCAGUCCUUCUUAUGUGAAGCUUAAAAUGUCCCACCUUGUGCAUUUGACUUUACAAAAUAAUUGUUUUACGUAACUCUAUGAUUUGUUAUUGUUGACAGAAUAAGCGAUCAUUACGAUCCAAGGUAUUGGUGCGUCUAUUUCUUACGUUAUAUUAUACAGGUAUAUAAUAUAUACCAACAGUUUAGCAUUUCUUACAUUAAAUUCCAUACAUUUAGUAAAGACAAUGUAUAGAGAGGAAUCAACUUUCAAAUUUUUUUACAUAUAAUCCGUAGCGAUAAUUAAAACGAAUAUUCAAAGCAUACACAUAAUUAGCUAUACAUAAUUUACGGGGUAACGCAUAAAGUAAGACAAAUCACUUUAACAUUGUUUAUGUUUUCUAAAACUCCAUUAUCAAGAAAUGUUAAUGCUUAUCCAAUUUUAUAUAUAUAUAUAUAUAUAUAUGUACAUAUAUAAACAUAUAUAUACAUAUACGUAUAUAUACAUAUAUUUAUUUAUUUAUUUAUUUAUAUAUAAGUGUGUAUAUCUUUUGUAUUUAUAUUAAUCUUUUUAUCAGUAAAUUCACGCUAAUAUACAUUAUAUAUAAACUAAGCAAAUUAAUUGACGAAUUACUAUACCAUUUAACUAUUAAUUAUUCCUCUUUUAUUUUUAUUCGAUAGUAAGAUAUUAAAAUACAUAUAACAUUAAACAAUAUCAAUCUUAUUUGGAAUAAAAAUACUGUGCACGCGAUGUACCGUUGAUGAAACGAUUUAUCUUUUAUAUAACUGCAGAAAAUAAACUUUAUUAUUAACUGAUGUAACUAAAAAUUGAUAUUGAUGUCCUGCUGCAUGUAUAUUGAAAUAUUACAUGGUAUAAGUUAAAAGAAAACUAAUAAAAAUGUUUUGCAAUCAAAAUCAGUUUCAUUUUUCUUUUAAAUAGCCAAAUUUAGCGUAUAUUUCCCUUACUUAUAUCAUGCUCUGUCAAAACAAAAAUAAAAAUGAAAACAGAAAAAAGUAAACGAAAAAAGAAACAAUAUGACAUAUUUACAUCAAAUAAAAGUAAAAAUAACUUCGUGAAUAUUAAUCUGCGAAUUAGUGAAUUUACUAAUGAAAAGAUAUUUAUGUGUGUAUAUUAAAUAUACUGUACUUGUUUCUUGAUGUAAUCAACUGAAUUAUAUUAAAUGUUGAAGGUAUCAUUGAGAUACAAUUAAUAUAAGUUGUGCUACAAGACUGAGACUAAAGCAAAGUGUUUACAGCACCACGAUUUAAACUGAAACAAUUAAUAUCUUGAUGCAUUUACAGUUGACAAUAAAUUUUUCUGUAUAUCCAACAUUGCGACUAAUCACUUCAGAUAUAAAAAAAUUAAAAGGCAGUAUUAUAAAUGUAAAGUAUAAUUAUACAUGUUGGUAAUUGUUUUAUAGUUCAGGAGAUUGGUUUUCCUUUAAUAUUCAUUAUUUCAAUUUCUGUACGCAUAUCAGUAACAAAUAUAUCAUAUGCGUUAUUCACUAUAAUGUAUAGGUACAUGUAAUUAUAUAACAUCUAAAGCCAAGCUCCUGUAAUAUACACAACAUUUUGAGGCACUUAAACGUGUGCUCAAAGACCAUGUUUCUGACAACUCUUAUAUUACUUGCCAAAGCAUAAUUCUAAAUUGUAUGUUAUCUCAUGUAACGGUAAUAUUAAAAAGAAAAGUCAGUGCCGUAAAUAGGUGCCUAAACAUGUCAUAACAACUUUUUUCUCAUUUGAGAUGAAUACAAAACUAAAAUCUAUUUAAUAUUAUUUCCAGAAUAUUAAUAACAGUAGAUAACUUAUUAUUAUUUCUGAUUUACUCGGAAUAAAAAUUUUAAAGCUUCUAGUAGAGACUAGAAUGUACCUGAGGCAACGUGGAAUGUUAUAUUUUCUAAAGUCAAAGAGGAAGAAAGAGAGAAAUAUACUAAUGUUCUAAUUUAAUUUUCUUGUGUUAUAUUAUUUUCUUUGCUUGUAUGUGUAUUAUGUCUUAAAAACUAUUAAUAAUUUUAUCAAUAAAUAUACCGAAUUUAUAUUUCUGUCUUAUAAUAUAAAGGUUACAGUAUCGUAAGACAAGUAAUUUUUUAGUAUUUUAUAAUAUUCUGGAUAAAUAUGAAAGAUUAAGUUUUUUUAUUAAUAAUAAUCUGUUUUUAAAAAUAUUAAUUAUUACGCA